CAGCCUCCCUACGAAGGAAAUCAUCCGCAUUGCUUCCGCCGGAAUCCUCACGGGAACCCCUGAACCUAAACUGACGGUUUCCUGAAGCUCUCCCCUUGCUGAACCGAUUGACCUCCCUCUGCCAGUCAUGCCGUCGAUCCGCUUGUCGCCGCGCUUUCCUCCUCCUUGGACUCGCAACAAGCCAAUCGUCUCCCUCCCCCC
rnacentral:lncRNA from 1 species